rnacentral:rRNA from 1 species
UACGGGGGGAGCAAGCGUUGUUCGGAUUUACUGGGCGUAAAGGGCGCGUAGGCGGCCACUGCACGUCAAUUGUGAAAUCUCCGGGCUUAACUCGGAAAGGUCAACUGAUACUGCAGGGCUAGAGUGCGGAAGGGGCAACUGGAAUUCUCGGUGUAGCGGUGAAAUGCGUAGAUAUCGAGAGGAACACCUGCGGCGAAGGCGGGUUGCUGGGCCGACACUGACGCUGAAGUGCGAAAGCUAGGGGAGCGAACGGG